CACUUUUAAACUUCUGCUCCAGGCUCUACUUUAGGAACAAGAAUGCUGCUGUGGGGGUUUUGAGAAGAGUGAGCAAAAUACACCUGUUCCGGUGCAGAAGCUGAGAGAGAGAGAAACCGAGACGCUCGCCCCAGGUUACCCCUGGUGGGCUGGCUGCUCCUGGCUAAAAGUCAGCUCUGACCUGCGGACACUGAGCUCUCCAUUAUGAAGAGAUGGAGGGAUUUCGUCUUCUCUCUGAAGGGCUAAUGGAGAAAGCAGGUAGAGUAGGAGGAUGCGCUUCAGCAGCACAAGAGGGUAAACCAGGGAAAAGACCGAAAUGGAGGUGGAGAAAGGCAAUCCGAGGAAAGAAACCAGAAACGGGGAGGCCAAGGCGACAGUCUUACCAGGCCGCCCGUCCCGAUCGGCGCAGAAGCACACAAGGCCCCGGCGGGAAGUGGUCCAGGACGGAACGUCGAGUCGAUGCAGCCUGACCCGAGCAUCCUGAGACUGAGCAUUCACAGAUUUAAAGUCUGAGUAACAGCUGUUUCACUGAACUGGAAGUUGGAACGCUGCAGUGCCAUUUUGGGUUCCUGCCACUGCACACCCUGAAAAGGCCAUGCUGGCUAUGCAUCACAGAUCUGCAUGUGCCCUGUUCCUCAUCAGCUGAAAUCUGAGGAAGAACGCCAAUGUGUCUGCACCGACUGUCCGCGGUACCUGGGCCUGUGUCCAGCCCUAAGAGCCAUGCUGCAUAUGUGUGACUCAUGAGAGAAGCACCACUUUCCCCAUGUUUGUUUAUUAUAAACUUCUAGUGAUUUCUGGCAUGCAUCAUGUGCGUGGAACCCAUUAGCCUCACAUGUAUGCAUUGCUUCUGUCAGAAGUUAGAGGGAUUUGGCUAAGUAACUUCUGCUGGGUGGAUGCAUGUGUCCCCAUGCAGGUUCAGUUUUCCAGGCCUGAACUUGGUGCUAAAGCUUGAGAAAUCGCUCUGUGGUCAGAGAUAUGUUCAACUGAGCACUUAAACCACUGACUUAUAUAGGCUACAGACGUGUGAGUGGGAGGCGCCCACCAGCAGGUUUGCAGUCCUGCAGCAAACCCCUUCCUGCGGGACGAUGCCUCCAGUUAGUCUCCAGCGGGAGCUGCCCCCCAGGGCUCUGCGUGGGCUCCCGGACCAGCGCUCAGUGUUAGAAUGUUUGGUGCCCACGUUCCAUUUCCUGAGCUUCCUGACAGGCUCCCUAACCCGUCUCCGCAGGUUGUGCCCUUGGAGACUGUGUCUCCCCGUGCAGGUAGGUAUCUCCAUGGGCAGCUGUCAGCUGCCCUCUCUGGUUUCUGCAAUGGAGGGUGGUUCCGAAGCACUCAGCUUCUUUGCCUGCAGCGUCCCCACGGGGUCACGGCUCGGGAGAAACAUCACUGUCCUGGGGUCUAGAACCAGUUCCUGUGACCUCCAUCCAGAGGGUACGAGCCAGCUUUGUGUAACAUGGAGAAGCACUGGUACCGGGCCGUUAGAUGCUGAGGCCUGUCCCCUCACAUCACCCUUUCGGAGGGGACAGAGUAUCAGAGCGUAUAACUGCCAAAAUCUUUAGGUUAAUAGAAGAUACAAUAAUCAAGUAAGAUUUAUUGUUGAUACAAACAUACUUAGUGAAAUGUACUUAAUCCUCACAGUAACUAUGUGAAUAGGUGGGGAAAGGGAUCUCGGCAAGGGAAGUAAGGUGCCUGCGGUGCCUCCCACACAGACUGUGGGGACGAGCCCCAGGUGUGUUUGGACUCCGCCUGGAUUCCCUAGCUUUGCUUUGUACAAACAAGCAAGGAAGCAAAUCACCAGAAACUAGGAGAAAUACUCCUGGUGUAUCAGCCACCUUACUUGUUCACAGAUGUUCCUCUUUCCAUAUAAUUGGCAGAUCUCAGAGCUAAUGAAUAAAGUUCUUGAUAGAAGGAAGGAGGGCUGAGAAAAGAAAUCCUAAAGGAAAACUAGUUUCAUAUUUUGUAGUCAUUUGCCUAACUUGUGAGAUUAAGUGUUAGACUUGAAGGCAGUGCAGUCAGGAGUAAAAUAUAAAUCCACGGAGAAAACUGAUGCUGGGAAAAAAGAGUCAAGAAAAGACAGUCCAACGCUGUGAAUCUAGGUGCAGGGUUCCCACGUGAAUCAAGAGCCUUUUAGCUGAACACCCAGCUGUCGAGAGCAUCACCUCAAAGACAGGCCGGUCACAAGAACCAGUCAGGCACCUGCUGUCGGGUGAAAUCUAACAAAGAUGACCAACGUUUCUGUUGCUGGAGAGUCUCAGACCGAUGACAGAGAAUAGAUGUGAAUUUUUGGUGACAAAAUUGGUUGCAGCACAUGCAGCAGAAGUUUCUCUUGAAUUGCCUGUGAAGAGCUGCUUUGAAAUGACUGUUUUCUGAGGGCCAUUGAGGCUGAGAUGGCUCUGAAAGGGCUCUUCUCCAAGGAAGUUGUAACCUGCCCCAUUCACAGAGCAUUUUAAGUGGCUUUUGCACAUGGAUCACAAACACAGUCCCCACGGCUAGAGCUCUCUUGGCACUAAGCCCAUUGCAGAAAGUGUCUAAUUUUUUUCUUUUGCUCAUCUAGCGUUAGUUUACAAUAUGGUAUGA